CUUAUUCAUCUAAUUCCUCACCCCAGCAACGAAAUUCAAACAGAAAAAUCACCAAGCCUAGCUCAUCAAGCAUCUUUUGCAGAAAACAGAAAUCAUUGAACAGAAUACAUACAAAAGGCUUUGAACGUCAGGAGGAUUAGCACUGCUAUUCCGAUUCAGAGAUAAGGUUAAACGACAGGCUUUGCCUAAACAGGUUAACGGCUGGUGCUGACGGGGCGAGCUGAGGCUAGGGUUCAACUCCGUGUUUUGACUUCUGCUGUAGAACUAGUUAAUAUAUGUCUUUUGUUUCCUUAACUUAAGACCGUUAUGUUGUGACUCUAAACAAUAUAUAUUUUGUUGAGCCGAGACUUUCAAUU